rnacentral:rRNA from 1 species
GACGAACGCUGGCGGCGUGCUUAACACAUGCAAGUCGAGCGGUAAGGCCCUUUCGGGGGUACACGAGCGGCGAACGGGUGAGUAACACGUGGGUGACCUGCCCUCAGCUCUGGGAUAAGCCUGGGAAACCGGGUCUAAUACCGGAUAUGACUCCAUGACGCAUGUUGUGGGGUGGAAAGCCUUGUGCGGCUGAGGAUGGGCCCGAGGCCUAUCAGCUUGUUGGUGGGGUGAUGGCCUACCAAGGCGACGACGGGUAGCCGGCCUGAGAGGGCGACCGGCCACACUGGGACUGAGACACGGCCCAGACUCCUACGGGAGGCAGCAGUGGGGAAUCUUGCGCAAUGGGCGAAAGCCUGACGCAGCGACGCCGCGUGAGGGAUGACGGCCU